rnacentral:rRNA from 1 species
GACGAACGCUGGCGGCGUGCUUAACACAUGCAAGUGGAGCGACGAAGCGGACUUCGGUCCGUGGCAGAGCCGCGAACGGGUGAGUAACACGUGGGUAACCUACCCCGAUGACCGGGACAACCCGAGGAAACUCGGGCUAAUACCGGAUGUUCUGGACCCUUGUAAGGGGGUUUAGUAAAGAUAGCUUUGGCCUUCGCAUCGGGACGGGCCCGCGGCCCAUUAGCUUGUUGGUGAGGUAACGGCUUACCAAGGCGACGAUGGGUAGCUGGUCUGAGAGGACGAUAAGCCACACUGGGACUGAGACACGGCCCAGACUCCUACGGGAGGCAGCAGUGGGGAAUCUUGCGCAAUGGGCGAAAGCCUGACGCAGCAACGCCGCGUGGGGGAAGAAGGCCUUCGGGUUGUAAACCCCUUUCAGUUGGGACGAAGCUUCCAGGGUUAAUAGCUCUGUGGAGUGACGGUACCUUCAGAAGAAGCCCCGGCUAACUACGUGCCAGCAGCCGCUGUAACAC